rfam:Phialocephala scopiformis strain CBS 120377 unplaced genomic scaffold LY89scaffold_1, whole genome shotgun sequence.
UCUUCUGUGGCGCAAUUGGCUAGCGCGUUCGACUGUUACUCAACUGUCAUCGAGAGGUUGGAGGUUCGAGCCCUCCCAGAAGAG